GGGCCCAUAGCUCAGUCGGUCAGAGCUCCCGGCUCAUAACCGGGCUGUCGUAGGUUCGAGUCCUACUGGGCCCA
rnacentral:tRNA from 1 species